UACGUAGGUGACAAGCGUUGUCCGGAUUUACUGGGCGUAAAGAGCGCGCAGGCGGUCGUUCAAGUCGAGUGUGAAAGCCCCCGGCUCAACUGGGGAGGGUCAUUCGAUACUGAUCGACUCGAAGGCAGGAGAGGGAAGUGGAAUUCCCGGUGUAGCGGUGAAAUGCGCAGAUAUCAGGAGGAACACCGAUGGCGAAGGCAGGUCUCUGGGCAUUAACUGACGCUGAGGAGCGAAAGCAUGGGGAGCGAACAGG
rnacentral:rRNA from 1 species